GCGGGAGUAACUCAGCGGUAGAGUGUUUGCUUCCCAAGCAAAAGGUCGCGGGUUCGAAUCCCGUCUCCCGCUCCA
rnacentral:tRNA from 2 species